GCGACAAAUUAAUGAGGAAUUAGAGAUAGUUCGACACUCAGGUGCUACCGCCAAUAGUUGCUUCAUAGAGAUCAUGGGCUGUAUGAUGCCCAAAUCUUUUAGAAUAUCAUAUGAUUAUAUAUUAGUCGUAAUUCUCAAUGUCCGUUUCUUCUUCCUAGUCCUAGAUACCGAUGCAAGUAAAUUGGUUUUCUCUAUAUUAAAAAUUGGUAAAGCUAUUGGAACUAAAUUUGAUGGAGCCUAUAAAAUUGGUUCUUUCAAUGGAUAAGAUUGUUCUCCCAAUUGAACUGAUAUUAGUUCCUUGGAAUUCAUGUAGGUGAGUAGAUCUUUCAACGAAAAGGACGUUUCUCGAAACUGUGUAAAGAACAAAAUAGCUUGAUACGGAAUCGAAGCCUUUGUAAUUAAUACGUCAUUAGGGUGCACAACUGAUUAAGGUCUUAUACUGAGUAAGGAGCCCAUGUCAAGACUUAGAUUAGAUGUUGUAAUUAUCGUUUUACUUAUUCUAUAAAUUUCUUUUAGAAUAAACUCGUAUACAAAAAUUUGAACACAUAGAAAGACUAAGAGCAUGAGCUUUACUUAUUAGGGUCACAUGAUUAACUAUAUUCUAAACCACUAAAACACUAAGAAACACUACAAUACUUCCUUCUAGGAAUAAUACUCCUUCAUCAACUGAUAACCACAAUGUGCAACUCUACACUCUCAAAAGAUUGCUCAAAUCACAAUAAUUUCCAUCCAAUACUAGAAAGAACAGACUUCACUCCAACCAAUCUAGAUCCACACAACUUCUGUAAUUACAGACUUCCUCUAUCCAAAAUAUACACAACUCUCGAUAAACAACAAUCACAAUCUUUCAAUCAUAAUCAAUCUUCUAAUAACUUCUCUAUAAUUCAAUCACAUAAUACUCCAAUUACAUAAUCAAUAUCUCAUAAAUCAAUCUUUGAUUUAUUCUACAGACUCACUUCUCAGUAUUCAAAAACUAUCCAUUACUCUUCAACAACAAAGAUAACAAAGAAAACAAAGAAGUAGCACCAAGCUUAAUCCCGGCUCAUGACUA
rnacentral:lncRNA from 1 species